UGGAAUGUAGAAACAAAAUGAUAUAAGACAUAACUCAUGAGAACGGUGUAAUAUAACUAUACAAGGAGAGCAAACGUUUGCUAACUGAACAUCUGAACGGAAUUGCAAGCUCUUCUGGAGUCCCCAGAGAUGUUUUGCAUCACAAUUGAGAAAUAUCAUUAAGCAACCAACACGAUAAACAUAGCCAAAAUUUCAGCUACACUUGCUCAGCGUAUUGACACAGUCUCCUUUUUUAGGUGUACAGUACAGAACAUUGGCAUCAGAAGAAGUACAUUGAGCAGUGAAUCUUCAGUCACCGUUCAAUCAAAUUACCAAGCCAUAAUUCAAUACAGCUAGAAGUUGUAAUUGGACACAAAAAAACUUGACACUCUUCAGGAGUCCCCAGAGAUGUUUAGCAUCACAAUGGAAUUAAGCAACCAAAAGGAUAAACAGAACCAAAAUUUCAGCAAUACUUGCUUAGCAUACUGACGUAGUCUCCUUUUUUUUAGAUGUACAAAAUUGACGCAGAAGAAGCACACUGAGCAGUGAAACAUCAAUCGCCGUUCAAUCAAAUUUCCAAGCCACAAUUUAAUACAGUUCGAAAUAGUAAUUGGACCAAAAAAAUAACGUUCUUCUGGAGUCCCCAGAGAUGUUUUGCAUCAAUGGAAUUAAGCAACCAUAAUGUGGUCUCCUUUUUUAGAUGUACAGAACAUUGCAUCAGAAGAAGCACAUUGAGCAGUGAAUCUUCCUUUGUUGUUCCAUCAAAUUACCAAGUCACAAUUUAAUACAGUUAGAAAUAGUAAUUGGACAAAAAAAUUGACGCUCUUCUGGAGUCCCACAGAUGUUUUGCAUCACAAAUGGAAUUAAGCAACCAUAGUGAUAAACAUAGCCAAAAUUUCACUUAUACUUGGUCAACAUAUCGAUGUAGUCUCCUUUUUUAGAUGUACAGAACAUUGGCAUCAGAAGAAGCACAUUGAGCAGUGAAUCUUCCUUCGCCGUUCAUUCAAAUUACCAAGCUACAAUCAAUACAGUCAGAAAUACUAAUUGGGCAAAAAAAUUGACGCUUUCAACUAGCUAGAGAACCAGGGGUACAGAAAAGACAUUAGCCUGAUGCUUCCUGCAAUUUUUGAUCGAACCCAUGUUUGCAGAAGAAAUCACUUGUACCGACAAUUCCAUACAUGAUUGUUGGUAUUAUGUUCUACGGCUAACUGGAAACACUGAAUUCGUGUGUAUGGCCCCAGAUUACACGACUUUGCAAUCUGCAGUUUCGCAUGCUUAUACUAGUGGAUUGAGCACAACACGAGAAGAAAAAGGCACAUCCGUAACUAUUCCCCAAAAACGAACGCAUUAGCCACAGGUAGAACCAACAAAAGCAAGCAAAGCAAACGCGGAAAUUAGGCAGCAGCAAAAUCGAUCCCCCGCGGAUCGAUCGGGGCUCCGGUUUCGCCCGCGAGCAUUGCAGAGUCCAGGACACGCAAGAUCUCAGCCAAGGCAAGCAUGGAUCGAUCAGCUAAACUAGUACUAGUAGUAGUAAAGUCUACAGCAAAACAUGGAUAGCGAUGGCACAAGAUGGAGUAGAUAAGAGAGACGGAGGGGGUG
rnacentral:lncRNA from 1 species